UCUUGGGGAGACUCGAACUCACAACCUCUCGGUUGAAAGUGGGGGUUGCUUACCAUCAGAGCAACCCCUCUUCUAAUAUAUGUACAUAAAAUUGUGAUCUUGCAUAUGCAAUGUAAUUUUCCGACGAAGUCCAUUUGGCUCCUCUCCUGACCCAAGGGGUUUGUUCUCUCUGCAACCUAUUAGGGUUACAAGGUAGAGGACAUUAACAGGAACCUUAAAAGUUCCUUGUCUCUUCUUUUAGGUAGAGAUGUAUUCCAAAACUGGAGUUUUAUAGAUGGCUAAAAGUGAAUGCUUCCUUUU
rnacentral:lncRNA from 1 species